rnacentral:rRNA from 1 species
GACGAACGCUGGCGGCGCGCCUAACACAUGCAAGUCGAACGAGCGAGAGAGAGCUUGCUUUCUCGAGCGAGUGGCGAACGGGUGAGUAACGCGUGAGGAACCUGCCUCAAAGAGGGGGACAACAGUUGGAAACGACUGCUAAUACCGCAUAAGCCCACAGGUCGGCAUCGACCAGAGGGAAAAGGAGCAAUCCGCUUUGAGAUGGCCUCGCGUCCGAUUAGCUAGUUGGUGAGGUAAUGGCCCACCAAGGCGACGAUCGGUAGCCGGACUGAGAGGUUGAACGGCCACAUUGGGACUGAGACACGGCCCAGACUCCUACGGGAGGCAGCAGUGGGGAAUAUUGCACAAUGGGGGAAACCCUGAUGCAGCGACGCCGCGUGGAGGAAGAAGGUCUUCGGAUUGUAAAACUCCUGUUGUUGAGGAAGAUAAAUGACGGUAUCAACAAGGAAGUG